rnacentral:tRNA from 1 species
ACCUUCGCCAGCGGAUCUGGCGCCGGCCCUCCGAAGGCCGGAUGACAAGUUCGACUCUUGUCGAGGGUGCCA